GAUGAACGCUGGCGGCGUGCCUAAUACAUGCAAGUCGAGCGAACGGACGAGAAGCUUGCCUCUCUGAUGUUAGCGGCGGACGGGUGAGUAACACGUGGAUAACCUACCUAUAAGACUGGGAUAACUUCGGGAAACCGGAGCUAAUACCGGAUAAUAUUUUGAACCGCAUGGUUCAAAAGUGAAAGACGGUCUUGCUGUCACUUAUAGAUGGAUCCGCGCUGCAUUAGCUAGUUGGUAAGGUAACGGCUUACCAAGGCAACGAUGCAUAGCCGACCUGAGAGGGUGAUCGGCCACACGGGAACUGAGACACGGUCCAGACUCCUACGGGAGGCAGCAGUAGGGAAUCUUCCGCAAUGGGCGAAAGCCUGACGGAGCAACGCCGCGUGAGUGAUGAAGGUCUUCGGAUCGUAAAACUCUGUUAUUAGGGAAGAACAGAUGUGUAAGUAACUGUGCACAUCUUGACGGUACCUAAUCAGAAAGCCACGGCUAACUACGUG
rnacentral:rRNA from 1 species